rnacentral:lncRNA from 10 species
GUAAAGUGGGUCACUACAAUACAGGUACAGCAAGGCAAAAUUGUCUCCCAUAUUACAGUUGGCCCUCCAUAUCCAUGGGUUCUGCAUCUAUGGAUUCAACCAUCCACAGACAGAAAAUAUUUUUUGAUUGCUUCUGUAUUGAACUUGUACAGACCUUUAUUUCUUGUCAUUAUUCACUGAACAAUACAACAACUGUUUACCUAGCCUUUACAUGUAUUAGUUAUUCUAAAUAAUCUAGAGAUGAUUUAAAGUACACAGGAGGGUGUUUCUAGGUUAUAUGCAAAUACCAUGCCAUUUUAUAUCAGGGACUUGAGCAUCCAUGGAUUUUGGCAUCCAAACAGGUUCCUGGAACCAAUCCCCCUGUAAGGAACAUGGUUGUACUUUGGUCAAGGAUAGGCGUGCCUCGUUACGGUGCAGUGGUACAAGUGUGCGUCCAGACACCUAAGGAGGCCAAGCCACCCAGUGUCCAUCAGUGGACGCAUGGAUGAUCAAAACGCGGUUCUCCCCAUUCAAUGGAAUAUGAUUCAGCGGUAAAAGGGAAAGAAAUCCUAACACACGCUACAAUGUGGGUGAACCCGGAGGACAUGGUACUAAGUGAAAUAAGCCAAUCACAGAAGGACAACUACUGUGUGAUUCC